rnacentral:lncRNA from 1 species
UCCGGUUGUAGAUAACUUGAACCUUAAUUAAUUAAAAUGAAUCAACUGAGUGUGUUGCCGUGAUGGCCUCUUCUCGGCGGAGUCCGGGAAGUGGACACGGUGUUGGAGUUACGUUUGCGCAGGUUGCUCUCUAGUCUCUCGCUCGUGCUUUGCCUCCUCUUCUCGCUCUCUUUUGCGAAUAAGUUAGCCACCAUAUAUGCUAGUCGCUUGCUGCAGCUCCACUUAUACAUUACCCCUUUCCUACCUAUUAAGCUUAAAUAGUCUUGAUCGCGAGGGUGCGAGAUUGCUGAGUCCCUGUGGCUCACAGAUUACUAUUACACCAGAUGCAGGGACAGAUGAUACAGCUCCAGAUGGCGCGCUCGAGCUCAAGUGGGAGUACGACGAGGACUCUCAGCGUUACUAUGUGUCUUUUCCUGAUGAUCAGUAGUGGUGCCUAUUCGGGGUUAGAUUCAGGGCCUUGUCACAUGUUGGGGGUCUUUUCUAUUUUGGCACCGUAGUCGGGCCAUGAGUGAUUUGUAUGAUGGAUGUUAUUUAUGUACUUUGACGUGAUGUGACGAGUGUAAGCCAACUAUGUUCUUCCCCUUUAUAUUAUUAUGUACAUGGGAUGUGUGAUGAUUUCCCGACUUGCGACAUUGCUUUCAAUGCGGCUAUGCCUCUAAGUCGUGCCUCGACACGUGGGAGAUAUAGCCGCAUUGAGUGCGUUACAAGUUGGUAAUCAGAGCCUUCCCCGACCUUAGGAGCCCCCAUUGCUUGAUCGUUUUAGCAGCCGAGUUGUGUCUAGAAAAAUGUUUUGAGUCCUUAGGAAUUAUAUAUCGGAGAGCUUAGGAAUUCUUUUUUACUUCCCAGUCUCCUCAUCGCUCUGGUAAGGCAUCCUGACGUAGAGUUUUGACUCUUCUCUUCUCAAAUUUCACUAAAAAUUUUUUUAGGAUCACGCGAGUAUCUUGGUUUUGUUCCGAUGGCUUAUGAUGAGAAUACUGUCUUGGUGCCUCCUGUCAGGGGUUUAGUGGAAGUGUCCCGGGGAGUUGAGCUCUGAGGUGUUGUCAUCAUAAUUUUAUCGUUGCAAUUCUGGUAUACUUGAGAUAUGUUCGCGACAUCGAAAAUCUCCUUUAUGCAGUUCGUUGGUGAGAUAACCUCGACGCCACCCAGUACUGGGGCGGGAGUUCGGGAGUAUCGUCAUAACUUGUAUAACGGAUGCUUUUCGAAGGUUGAGGUAGAUGGUUUCCGAAGAUUUCUUGGUUAUGUGUUGAAGGAUGGAUACAACUGGAUGUAGGAUUUGCUAGCUUGGGUGAGAUAUUAUGCUUCCCCUAUAUCCCCAACACCUGAUUGCAUAACCGGAAAGUUUCGGGAGUUCCAUAGGUGGGAAUUCAAGUAGCUCUUAGGAUAUCUUUCCAACAGAUGUAUGGUAUGAAAUUGGGGUUCGACGUCUAGUGGUUCGCCUAUUCACGGUCGAUUUUACAGUGGUCUCGUUGUGUCUUAAAGAGUCCUUGGCUAUGCUGACUCGGGGACGCUUCGUAUGUCAUGUGCACUGCCUUGUACAUGAUGGUGCUGUACGAUCGAGCCCGUGUAGGUCCCACCACGAAAACUUCGGACGAAAUUUCGAUCAUAUGUUUGUUCCGGCUUAUUUCACAAGCCAACCCUUGGUUUUAUUUUCAGUUGUGGUAUUCAAGUUCCUUCGUCGUCAUAUGUGGAUUCCAUCCCUCGUUGAUGUACCCAUUCUACCUGAUUCUUCGUGGCUUCGCAAUUUAGGAAUAUGUGACCACUUCAAGAGAAGUGCAUUCGUUCAUUUUGUUCGGAUGUGAAGAUUUUGUUGCAAUUUUCAUUCCGUUGGAUUCACCUUCAAUAUUUGUCUAUUUGUGUGCUAAUGGUGGUCAACCUCUUCAGGAUGGCUCCUCCAAUGCGCACGACUCCGAACCCUGAUCCGCCACCACCUCCACCGCCUCCGGAGGCUUGGCAAGCUGUGAUGGCCGCAACUAAUGCAAAUACACAGUUGAUCAUGCAAAUCCUCCAAGAGCGGAAUCAAGGCAGUCAAGGGAAUCAAGGCAACAAUCAGAACCAUUAUGCUACUCUGAACCAGUUCCUCGCAAAUGGUCCAAAGACGUUAAGCAACUGUGUUGAGGCUACCGAUGCUGACGAUUGGCUAGUCGAUCUGGGCAAGCAUUUUGAAUGCAGCAACGUCAGGCCUGAAGAUUUCGUCAAGUUCGCUUCUUUCCAGCUCAAAGAUCAGGCCGCAGAGUGGUUCCAGCAGUACAAGGAUUCCAGAGGUGGACGUUUGAUCACUUGGGAUGAUUUCCGUCGUGAUUUUCGAGCUCAUCACAUUCCUCAGAGUGCGACUGAAAGCAAACGUGAGGAAUUCCGCAAUCUGAAGCAAGGCUCUUUGUCUGUCUAUGACUACAACAAGUUGUUCCAGAAGCUCGCCCAUUUUGCCAAGCAGGAUGUUCCUGAUGAGAAGAGCAUGAUCUAUUAGUUCAGGGGUGGUCUCCGUGAAUAAAUUCAGCUCGCUCUCGUCCUCUUCGAGCCACUGAGAUACGAUGAGUUCUACAACAUGGCACUGAAGCAAGAGGCUGCUCAGUUGAGGUGUGAUGCUUCCAGGAAGCGAGUCAGAGACACUACGCCUUCUUCCUCUACUCAAGUGGCCAAGCAGCAGAAGUAUUGGCUUCCUCCUCCUCCGUUCCGUCAGCCGUAUCAGCAGAAGAGCAAAGGUGGCAGUGGUUCAUCCCACCCACCCAACCCAGGCUUUCAGAACAAGACUUCGUCUCAAGCUCCAAGAUCGAGUGCUCCGUACCACCGUCCGCUCUUAGAGGUCACGUGCAACAAGUGCCAACAGAAGGGGCACUACGCCAACAAGUGUUUCAACCAGAGGCGUCUUCCUCCUCCUCCUCCUGUCAGAUCGGCAAGUACAGCUGUGGUCAAGCAUAACCCCAAGUCCGCCAAGGUCAACUUGAUGAACGCAGCUCAGGCAGAGGAUUCGUCAGAUGUGAUCAUGGGUAACCUUCCUGUUAAUGAUAUUCCUGCAAAAGUUCUUUUUGAUACGGGUGCUUCGCAUUGCUUCAUCUCGAGGCCAUUUACAUCUAGGCAUGAAUUGGUUUCACAAGUUCUGCCUAGCCCAUUAGUAGUUGUUUCUCCUGGUAAGCGCAUGCAGGCUAACUCCAUCGUUCCGGAUGUCACUAUCACUUUGGGCGAUUAUAAGUUCUUGGCUUCUCCAACGGUUCUUGGUGAUUCUGAUAUCGAUCUUAUUCUUGGGAUGGACUGGCUCUCUAAACACAAGGCUCACCUCGAUUGUGCAGCCAGGCAGAUUCAACUGACGCAUUCGUAUGAGGAUGUCAUUGUCUUUGCCGCUCGUGAUGAUACAAUCCGGUUGUUUUCUCUCAAUGAGAAGGGUGAAUUAGAUGCUAUUUCGCAGAUUCCGGUUGUUUGUGAGUAUCAAGACGUCUUCCCAGAAGAACUCCCAGGCAUGCCUCCGCACCAGCCGGUUGAAUUUGUUAUUGAACUUGAGCCCGGUACGGAACAUGUGUGCAAACGUCCCUACAAGCUCGGCCCUGAAGAGUUGAAGGAGUUGAAGAAACAACUCGAUGUUCAAGAAAGAAUGGGUCUCAUUCGGCCUAGUACUUCUCCGUGGGGUUGUGGUGUUCUUUUUGUGAAGAAGAAGGAUGGAACGGACCGACUUUGUGUUGAUUAUCGUCCUUUGAACAAGAAGACCAUCAAGAACAAAUAUCCACUUCCCAACAUUAAUGAGCUGUUUGAACAACUCAAGGGUGCCCAAGUAUUCUCCAAGCUUGAUCUUCGUAUGGGUUAUCAUCAAAUUCGCAUUCGUGAGCAAGAUAUUCCCAAGACGGCUUUCAGGACAAGCUAUGGGUCAUAUGAAUACACUGUCAUGUCUUUUGGCCUCGCCAACGCUCCUCCGACGUUCUCUCGCAUGAUGAACUUCAUCUUCAACCCCUAGACCAAUGACUUCGUUUUGGUCUAUCUCAACGACAUUCUGGUUUUCUCGAAGAACAAGGAAGAUCAUGCCAAGCACUUGCGUUUGGUUCUUGACAAGCUCAGGGAACAUCAGUUCUACGCCAAGUUCUCCAAGUGUGAAUUUUGGCUCGAUGAGGUGCUUUAUCUUGGUCAUAUCAUCUCUGCCAAGGGCAUUCCCGUAGAUCCUGAGAAGGUGUCUGCAAUUGUUAAUUGGGAACCUCCUCAGAACGUGAAGCAACUCCGUAGCUUCCUUGGUCUCGCAAGCUAUUGCCAAAGAUUCGUUGAAAACUUUUCCAAGAUCGCGAAGCCUCUCUCAAAUCUUCUUCAGAAGCACGUCAAGUACGUUUGGUCUCCGGAGUGUGAUAUUGCUUUCAACGCUUUGAAAGAGAAAUUGAUCACUGCUCCAGUUCUGACUCCGCCGGAUGAAACCAAGCCGUACGAGGUCUUUUGUGAUGCCUCUCUCCAAGGUCUAGGUGCUGUACUGAUGCAAGAGAAGAAAGUGGUUGCUUAUACCUCUCACCAGUUGAAGCCUAAUGAGAAGAACUACCCCACUCAUGAUCUCAAGUUGGCGGCAGUUGUGCAUGCUUUAUUGACUUGGAGACAUCUUCUUUUGGGAAGGCAAGUGGACAUUUUCACUGAUCACAAGAGUCUCAAGUGUUGGGGAACGUAGUAAUUUCAAAAAAUUUCCUACGCACACGCAAGAUCAUGGUGACGCAUAGCAAUGAGGGGGAGAGUCUGAUAUACGUACCCUUGUAGAUCGCAACGGAAGCGUUGACACAACGUAGAGGAAGUAGUCGUACGUCUUCCCGAUCCGACCGAUCCAAGCACCGUUACUCCGGCACCUCCGAGUUCUUAGCACAUGUUCAGCUCGAUGACGAUCCUCGGGCUCCGAUCCAGCAAAGCGUCGAGGAAGAGUUCCGUCAGCACGACGGCGUGGUGACGAUCUUGAUGUACUACCGACGCAGGGCUUCGCCUAAGCACUACAACGGUAUGAUCGAGGUGGAAUUUGGUGGCAGGGGGCACCGCACACGGCUAAGGAACGAUCUCAAGGAUCAACUUGUGUGUCUAGAGGUGCCCCCUGCCCCCGUAUAUAAAGGUUGAGAGGGGGAGGGCUGGCCGGCCAAGCUAGGGAGGCGCAGGAGGAGUCCUACUCCUACCGGGAGUAGGACUCCCCCCCAAUCCUAUUCCUAAUAGUACUCCCAAGUGGAAAGAGAGGGAGAGAGGUGGCCGGCCACCUCUCCUAGUCCUAAUAGGACUAGGGGAGGGGGGUGGCGCGCAGCCCACCUUGGGCUGCCCCUUUCACCUUUCCACUAAGGCCCAAUAAGGCCCAUUUAGUUCCCGGGGGGUUCCGGUAACCUCCCGGUACUCCGGUAAAAUUCCCGAUUUCACCCGGAACACUUCCGAUGUCCAAACAUAGGCUUCCAAUAUAUCAAUCUUUAUGUCUCGACCAUUUCGAGACUCCUCGUCAUGUCCGUGAUCACAUCCGGGACUACGAACAACCUUCGGUACACCAAAAUGCAUAAACUCAUAAUAACUGUCAUCGUAACGUUAAGCGUGCGGACCCUACGGUUCGAGAACAAUGUAGACAUGACCGAGACACAUCUCCGGUCAAUAACCAAUAGCGGGACCUGGAUGUCCAUAUUGACUCCUACAUAUUCUACGAAGAUCUUUAUCGGUCAGACCGCAUAACAACAUACGUUGUUCCCUUUGUCAUCGGUAUGUUACUUGCCCGAGAUUCGAUCGUCGGUAUCCAAUACCUAGUUCAGUCUCAUUACUGGCAAGUCUCUUUACUCGUUCUGUAAUACAUCAUCUCACAACUAACAUCUUAGUUAUAAUGCUUGCAAGGCUUAUGUGAUGUGUAUUACCGAGAGGGCCCAGAGAUACCUCUCCGACAAUCGGAGUGACAAACCCUAAUCUCGAAAUACGCCAACCCAACAUCUACCAUUGGAGACACCUGUAGUACUCCUUUAUAAUCACCCAAUUACGUUGUGACGUUUGGUAGUACCCAAAGUGUUCCUCCGGCAAACGGGAGUUGCAUAAUCUCAUAGUCAUAGGAACAUGUAUAAGUCAUGAAGAAAGCAAAUAGCAACAUACUAAACGAUCGGGUGCUAAGCUAAUGAAAUGGGUCAUGUCAAUCAGAUCAUUCAACUAAUGAUGUGACCUCGUUAAUCAAAUAACAACUCUUUGUUCAUGGUUAGGAAACAUAACCAUCUUUGAUUAACGAGCUAAGCAAGUAGAGGCAUACUAGUGACACUCUGUUUGUCUAUGUAUUCACACAUGUAUUAUGUUUCCGGUUAAUACAAUUCUAGCAUGAAUAAUAAACAUUUAUCAUGAUAUAAGGAAAUAAAUAAUAACUUUAUUAUUGCCUCCAGGGCAUAUUUCCUUCAUCAGGUACAUCUUCACUCAGCCUAAUCUCAACCUCAGGCAAACUCAAUGGGUCGAAAUGAUUCAAGAGUACAAUCUGAGUAUUGAGUAUACUCCAGGCAAGGCCAAUGUGAUUGCUGACGCUUUGAGCAGAAAAGCAUAUUGCAACAGUCUGAUUCUCAAGCCUUAUCAACCCGAGCUUUGUGAAGCCUUCCGCAAACUUAAUUUGCAAAUUGUUCCUCAAGGUUUCCUCGCCAACCUUCAAGUCUCUCCUACCUUGGAAGACCAGAUUCGCCAAGCCUAGCUUCUUGAUGCUAUGGUGAAAAAGGUGAAGAUUGGUAUUGCAAAGAGUCAGUCCAAGUACAAGUGCUACCGACUUGAUGACAAGGACACUCUCUUCUUCAAGGAUCGAAUUGUUGUGCCCAAAGGUGAACUUCGUAAAGUGAUCAUGAAUGAGGCUCACAACUCUCUCCUCUCCAUCCACCCUGGGAGCACGAAGAUGUAUCAAGAUCUGAAGCAAACUUAUUGGUGGACUCGAAUGAAGCGCGAGAUCGCUCAAUUCGUGAAUGAAUGUGAUGUCUGCAGAAGAGUGAAGGCAGAACACCAAAGGCCAGCAGGUCUCCUCCAACCUCUUGCCAUUCCAGAAUGGAAGUUUGACCACAUUGAAAUGGACUUCGUGACUGGGUUUCCAAAGUCCAAGCGUGGCAAUGAUGCUAUAUUCGUUGUCAUCGACAAGCUCACCAAAGUGGCUCACUUUCUGCCUAUCAAAGAGUCUAUCACUGUAGCUCAAUUGGCGGAACUCUACACCUCUCGAAUUGUCUCUCUUCACGGUAUUCCUCAAGUGAUAUCUUCAGACCGUGGCAACAUCUUUACCUCCAAGUUUUGGGAUUCUUUUCAGAAGGCAAUGGGCACCAAUAUCCGCUUCAGCACUGCUUUUCAUCCUCAAACAAGCGGUCAAGUCGAGCGUGUCAACCAGAUUCUUGAAGAUAUGCUUAGGGCUUGUGUUAUCUCCUUCGGCAUGAAGUGGGAGGAUGGUCUUCCUUAUGCUGAAUUCUCGUACAACAACAGUUUUCAAGCAAGUUCGGGCAAGGCCCCAUUUGAAAUUCUGUAUGGUAGGAAGUGCCGUACACCUCUCAACUGGUCUGAAACCGGUGAAUGUCAGCUGCUGGGUAAUGACCUAAUCACAGAGGCAGAAGAAAUGUGCAAGGUCAUUCGUGAUAACCUCAAAGCAGCCCAAUCCCGCCAGAAGAGCUACUAUGAUAGUAAGCACCGUGAUCUGGCUUUCGAGAUCGGAGAUCAUGUUUACCUCCGCGUCUCUCCUAUGAAAGGGACUCGUCGCUUCGGUAUCAAAGGGAAGCUUGCCCCCACAUACGUCGGGCCUUUCAAGAUUGUCAGCAAGAGAGGCGACCUCGCCUAUCAACUCGAGCUUCCUUCAAACUUUGCCAAUGUUCAUGAUGUGUUCCAUGUCUCCCAACUCCGAAAGUGCUUCAAGACGCCUGAGCGCAUAGUCAACUUCGAGGACAUUGAGCUCCAAGAAGAUCUCUCCUAUCGUGAGCACCCAGUUGCAAUCCUUGAAGAGACUGAACGCAGAACUCGCAACAAGUCAAUCAAAUUUCUCAAAGUAAAGUGGUCACACCAUUCCGACCGUGAAGCUACCUGGGAACGCGAGGAUCACCUCCGUUCUGAGUACCCGGAGUUCUUUCAGUCCUAGAUCUCGGGACGAGAUCUAUUCAUAGUGGUGGAGUGUUGUAACGCCCCAGAUAUUACUUUCCCAAUUUGUACUCCAACUCUUGCCGUUUCCGGCAUUAAGUUAUAUUUAUUUCUCGAGUUCGGGUCUUUGUCUCCGUGUGUUGUUUUCGUUUUCAUGCAUCUCAUAUCAUGUCAUCACGUGCAUUGCAUUUGCAUGCAUGUUCAUCUCAUGCAUUCGAGCAUUUUCCCCGUUGUCCGUUUUGCAUUCCGGCGCUUCGUUCUCCUCCGGUGGCCAUUUCUAGCUUUCUUUCGUGUGUGGGGAUUAAACAUUUCCGGAUUGGACCGAGACUUUCCAUGCGGCCUUGGUUUACUACCGGUAGACCGCCUGUCAAGUUUUGGGUCAUUUGGACUUCGUUUGAUACUCCAACGGUUAACCGAGGGACCGAAAAGGCCUCGUGUGUGUUGCAGCCCAACACCCCUCCAAUUUGGCCCAAAACCCACCAAACUCUGCUCCAUCGUCUCGGUCGUUCGAUCAUGAUCGCGUGGGCAAAAACCGCACCUUAUUUGGACACUCCUAGCUCCCUCUAUGCCUAUAUAUACACCCCCCCUCCAAAAAAUCCCGGAUCCCCUCCGUCCCUAACCUCAGAUCCACCUCCACCCGCGGCGCACCGGACAAAGUCCGCGCCGACGGACGUGUCCAGAUCCGCCUGCGCCGCCACGUGUCGCUCCAUCAUUGGCCGCGCCGCCCUCGCCACACAUCGCCGUCCCGCAUCGCCGCGGCCCGUGGCCGGCCCGCCCGNNNNNNNNNNNNNNNNNNNNNNNNNNNNNNNNNNNNNNNNNNNNNNNNNNNNNNNNNNNNNNNNNNNNNNNNNNNNNNNNNNNNNNNNNNNNNNNNNNNNNNNNNNNNNNNNNNNNNNNNNNNNNNNNNNNNNNNNNNNNNNNNNNNNNNNNNNNNNNNNNNNNNNNNNNNNNNNNNNNNNNNNNNNNNNNNNNNNNNNNNNNNNNNNNNNNNNNNNNNNNNNNNNNNNNNNNNNNNNNNNNNNNNNNNNNNNNNNNNNNNNNNNNNNNNNNNNNNNNNNNNNNNNNNNNNNNNNNNNNNNNNNNNNNNNNNNNNNNNNNNNNNNNNNNNNNNNNNNNNNNNNNNNNNNNNNNNNNNNNNNNNNNNNNNNNNNNNNNNNNNNNNNNNNNNNNNNNNNNNNNNNNNNNNNNNNNNNNNNNNNNNNNNNNNNNNNNNNNNNNNNNNNNNNNNNNNNNNNNNNNNNNNNNNNCACCGGCCGCCGUCCUUGCUCCGCCGCCUCGUCGCCGGCGCACCUCGCCGGGCCGGAGCCGGACCUCCUCGCCUCGCUGCCGCCACCUCGCCGCCCGGCGUCGGUGACCGCGCCCGGCGCCCCCUCCUCUCACCGGCCUCGGAUCCGGCCGGAUCCACCGCUCCCACGCGACCCCGCCGCUUCUUCGAGCUCCGGCGGCUAUAGUGUUUUCCGGCGAGCCUCGGGAUCCGUGCCACCAAAACCCUAGAUCUGGACCUGAGGAUCCCUAGGGUUGACUUUCCCUUCCCCUCUUAAUUUUUUAUGCUAUGUUUGACUGCUCAUAUCUCCGCAUCCGUAGCUCCGCUUUGGACAUAUGAUAUAUCAAAAUCUUCGCCUCGACGAGUAUAUCAUUUCAUCCCAUUGCAUCAUUUGCAUUCGAGGUCAUCUUGAUGCCCAAAAUGCUGUUAGAAGGAGGCAUCGUGAGUUAAACUGCAGAUCCGUUAGCUCAUCAUUGACUUUUGUCAUUUUUGCCAUGAUUAUUGUGUGCAUGAUAUGCCUGUGACCCUUUGGGAUGAAUUGUUAAGCAUUUUGUCUUCUUUCUAGAGGUGCCACCCAUGCAUUUUUAGGAUGUGUGUGGUGUCUUGUGCAAGCUUGCAAAGAGGGGCACCUGAGUAAUCUGUUUUUAGGGACUUAGUGAUUUUUCACCAAGUCUGGGAAGUUUUAGUUCAUGAUGCUAUAUGUCCAGCUUGUUUCCUAGUGAUCCGUGCCUCUUUUGAGGAUGAUCAGUAAGGGCGUUUUGAUAUUUAUGUUGCGCUUUAUCCAUCCAUGUCUUUACUUGUUAUGUUGGAGCACCCUAGGUUGAGUCAAUCGAGCUCAACUUUUGCAUCGUUGUUAAUUUGGGCAGAUCGUGAAUUCUUUUGCGAUUUUGCCGGUGCUAUUGCUAGUGAUCCAUGCGUGCUAUGCCAUCGUUCUUGCCAUGUCUAGCUAGAAUUUUGUGCCUUCUUUAUGGAUAUAUGCUUGCCUUGCCAUGACUUGCACCGUAGUGAGUGCAUCGAGCUCGUUUACAUGCCUCCGUGAGUUAUAAUUUCAGCAUGUCUCAGUUUUCACCAAGUCUGAAAACUGAUUGUGUUUCAUCUAUGUUCGUGUGCUCGGUAGAGUAUUUUGUGAACCCUUUUGGCCCCAGGUCACUUUGGGUCUUUUGUUAAGCUUGUUGAGUAGCUCCAUGCCAUGCUCUUACUUUUCAUGUUCAGGUUAUGUUUCAUGUUGUUUUGCUGCUGCGAAGAGAGCAUCAUGGUCUGAGAUUUCAGACUAGUGUUAAUUUCACUAAGUCUGAAAUCUGUUUUGCUUAUUCAUUUUUGCCAUGCUUGUUUGAACCCCUUAAUGGAUGAAUUUGCCUAUAGCUCAGUCCUAGUUAUUUGUUAAGCAUCUUGUGUAUAUCCCUGCCAUGGUUUUUGUUUUCAUGUUUGGUGGCUGUAGCAUGUUCAUUUCGUUGCAUUUAGGAGCCUACUUGCCGUAAAUCGCAGAUCGGUUCGUUUCGUAAAACGCUUGCCAUUUCCAAACCGUAGCUCCGAUUCCUAUGAUCUUUAUAUCGUUUUCAGGGGAUUUCUUCCCCCCUAUCCAGUGGCACAUUUGGUUUUCCAAGUUGAGGCCAGGUUCAUACAUUUCCUGUCACGUCUUGCAUUUUGCAUCCCGCAUCGCAUCCCGCAUAGCAUACCAUCUUUGCAUAUUAUUGGUUGCCCUUGCACGUGGUUGAUUGUAUCCUUGUUGCUUGUUUGUGUUGUUGGGUAGAGCCGGGAGACGAGUUCGCUAACGAGGAGCCCGUUGAGUUUGCUUUUGAGGAUCCAGCCAACUCUGACAACUGUGCAGGCAAGAUGAUCCUACCCUCGAAAUCACUACUAUCUUUGCUAUGCUAGUUUGCUCGCUCUUUUGCUUUGCCAAUGCUACGAUGCCUACCACUUGCUUGUCAGCCUCCCAAUUGCCAUGAUUGAGCCUCUAACCCACCUUCGUCCUAGCAAACCGUUGAUUGGCUAUGUUACCGCUUUGCUCAGCCCCCUUCUUAUAGCGUUGCUAGUUGCAGGUGAAGAUUGGAGCCGUUCCUUGUUGGAACAUUUAUUUACUUGUUGGGAUAUCAUUAUAUUGCCAUGUUAUCUUAAUGCAUCUAUAUACUUGGUAAAGGGUGGAAGGCUCGGCCUCUCGCCUUGUGUUUUGUUCCACUCUUGCCGCCCUAGUUUUCCAUCAUAUCGGUGUUAUGUUCCCGGAUUGUUGCGUCCCUCACGCGGUUGGGCUAUAAUGGGAACCCCUUGAUAGUUCGCCUUGAUUAAAGCUUUUCCAGCAAUGCCCAACUGUUGGGGAACAUAGCAGAAAUUCAAAAUUUUCCUACGUGUCACCAAGAUCUAUCUAUGGAGAGACUAGCAACGAGGGGGAGGAGAGUGCAUCUACAUACCCUUGUAGAUCGCUAAUCGUACUCGUCGUGAUCCAAAUCACCGAUGAUCCUAGUGCCGAACGGAUGGCACCUCCGCGUUCAACACACGUACAGCACGGCGACGUCUCCCACGCCUUGAUCCAGCAAGGAGAGAGGGAGAGGUUGAGGAAGACUUCAUCCAACAGCAGCACAAUGGCGUGGUGGUGGUGGAGGAGCGUGGCUAUCCUGCAGGGCUUCGCCAAGCACCACAGAAGAGGAGGAAGAAGAGACGCAGGGCUGCACCAAGAGAGAUUGAAUCGCAUGUAUAAUGGGCAGCCCCUUAGGCCUCAUAUAUAUAGGGGAAGGGGAGGGGCUGCGCCCCCUCUAGGGUUCCCAUGCCUAGGGGGGCGGCAGCCCUAGAUGGGGAGCAAGGGGGCGGCCAAGAGGGGAGAGAGGGAGGCGCCCCCUAGGGUGGGCCUUAGGCCCAUAUAAGCCUAGGGUUUCCUCCUUUUUUCCUCCUAGCUGCCCUUGGGCCUUGUGGGAGGCGCACCAGCCCACUUAGGGGCUGGUUCCUCACCACCCUUGGCCCAUGCAAGCCUCCGGGGUUGGUGGCCCCACUUGGUGGACCCCCGGGACCCUCCCGGUGGUCCCGGUACGUUACCGAUAAACCCCGAAACUCUUCCGGUGACCAAAACAGGACUUCCCAUAUAUAAAUCUUUACCUCCGGACCAUUCCGGAACUCCUCGUGACGUCCGGGAUCUCAUCCGAGACUCCGAACAACAUUCGGUAACCACAUACAAACUUCCUUUAUAACCCUAGCGUCAUCGAACCUUAAGUGUGUAGACCCUACGGGUUCGGGAGACAUGCAGACAUGACCGAGACGUUCUCCGGUCAAUAACCAACAGCGGGAUCUGGAUACCCAUGUUGGCUCCCACAUGUUCCACGAUGAUCUCAUCGGAUGAACCACGAUGUCAAGGACUUAAUCAAUCCCAUAUACAAUUCCCUUUGUCUAUCGGUACGAUACUUGCCCGAGAUUCGAUCGUCGGUAUCCAGAUACCUUGUUCGAUCUCGUUACCUGCAAGUCUCUUUACUCGUUCUGUAACACAUCAUCCCGUGAUCAACUCCUUGAUCACAUUGUGCACAUUACGAUGAUGUCCUACCGAGUGGGCCCAGAGAUACCUCUCCGCUUACACGGAGUGACAAAUCCCAGUCUCGAUUCGUGCCAACCCAACAGACACUUUCGGAGAUACCUGUAGUGCACCUUUAUAGUCACCCAGUUACGUUGUGACGUUUGGUACACCCAAAGCAUUCCUACGAUAUCCGGGAGUUGCACAAUCUCAUGGUCUAAGAAAAUGAUACUUGACAUUAGAAAAGCUUUAGCAUACGAACUACACGAUCUUUGUGCUAGGCUUAGGAUUGGGUCUUGUCCAUCACAUCAUUCUCCUAAUGAUGUGAUCCCGUUAUCAACGACAUCCAAUGUCCAUGGUCAGGAAACCGUAACCAUCUAUUGAUCAACGAGCUAGUCAACUAGAGGCUUACUAGGGACAUGGUGUUGUCUAUGUAUCCACACAUGUAUCUGAGUUUCCUAUCAAUACAAUUAUAGCAUGGAUAAUAAACGAUUAUCAUGAACAGGGAAAUAUAAUAAUAAUCAAUUUAUUAUUGCCUCUAGGGCAUAUUUCCAACAGUCUCCCACUUGCACUAGAGUCAAUAAUCCAGUUCACAUCGAUAUGUGAUUAACACUCAAGGUCACAUCCUCAUGUGACUAACACCCUAAAGAGUUCUGGGUUUGAUCAUGUUAUGCUUGUGAGAGAGGUUUUAGUCAACGGGUCUGAACCUUUCAGAUCCGUGUGUGCUUUACAAAUCUCUCUGUCAUCUCCUAGAUGCAGCUACCACGCUCUAUUUGAAGCUAUUCCAAAUAACUAUUCUACUUGGAGCUAUUCUAAAUUGUAGCUCCAUUAUAUGUAUCCGGUAUCUCUACUCAGAGCUAUCCGGAUAGGUUUUAAGCUUGCAUCGACGUAACCCUUUACGAUGAACUCUUUUACCACCUCCAUAACCGAGAAACUUCCUUAGUCCACUAGUUACUAAGGAUAACUUUGACCAUUCUUGGAUCACUCUUGUACCCCUUGACUGACUCAUGGCAAGGCACACUUCAGGUGCGGUACACAGCAUAGCAUACUGUAGAGCCUAUGUCUUAAGCAUAAGGGACGACUUUCGUCCUUUCUUUCUAUUCUGCCGCGGUCGAGCUUUAAGUCUUAACUUCAUACCUUACAACUCAGGCAAGAACUCCUUCUUUGACUGAUCCAUUUUGAACACCUUCAAGAUCAUGUCAAGGUAUGUGCUCAUUUGAAAGUUCCAUUAAGCAUUUUGAUCUAUCCUUAUAGAUCUUGAUGCUCAAUGUUCAAGUAGCUUAAUCCAGGCUUUCCAUUUAAAAACACUUUCCAAAUAAUCCUAUAUGCUUUCCAGAAAUUCUACGUCACUUCUGAUCAACAAUAUGUCAACAACAUAUACUUAUCAGAAAUUCUAUAGUGCUCCCACUCACUUCUUUGGAAAUACAAGUUUCUCAUAAACUUUGUAUACACCAAAAUCUUUGAUCAUCUCAUCAAAGCAUACAUUCCAACUCCGAGAUGCUUACUCCAGUCCUUAGAAGGAUUGCUGGAGCUUUGCAUACUUAUUAGCAUAUUUCAGGAUUGACAAAACCUUCCGGUUGUAUCACAUACAACCUUUCCUCAUAAAUCGUCGAGGAAACAAUGUUUUGACACCCUAUCUGCAAGAUUUCAUAAAUAGUGCAGUAACUGCUAAUAUAAUUCCAACAGACUUUUAGCAUCGCUACGAGUGAGAAAGUCUCAUCGUAGUCAACUCCUUGAACUUGUCGGGAAACUUCUAACGACAAGUCGAGCUUUCUUAAUGGUGACAUUUACCAUCAUUGUCCGUCUUCCUUUAAAAUCCAUCUAUACUCAACAGCCUCACGACCAUCGAGCUGUUCUGUCAAAGUCUACACUUUUGUUUCCAUACAUGGAUCCUCUCUCGGAUUUUAUGGCCUCGAGCCAUUUAUCGGAAUCCGGGCCCACCAUCGCUUCUCCAUAGCUCGUAGGUUCAUUGUUGUCUAGCAACAUGACUUCCAAGACAGGAUUACGUACCACUUUGAAGUAGUACGCAUCCUUGUCAUCCCACGAGGUUUGGGAGUGACUUGAUCCGAAGUCUCGUGAUCAAUAUCAUAAGCUUCCACUUCAAUUGGUGUAGGUGCCACAAGAACAACUUCCUGUGCCCUGCCACACACUAGUUGAAGAGAUGAUUCAAUAACCUCAUCAAGUCUCCACCAUCCUCCCACUCAAUUCUUUCAAGAGAAACUUUUCCUCGAGAAAGGACCCAAUUCUAGAAACAAUCCCUUAUUGCUUUCGGAUCUAAGACAGGAGGUAUACCCAACUGUUUUGGGUGUCCAAUGAAGAUGCAUUUAUCCGCUUUGGGUUCGAGUUUAUCAGCCUGAAACCUUUUUCACAUAAGCGUCGCAGCCCCAAACUUUUAAGAAAUGACAGCUUAGGUUUCUCUAAACCAUAGUUCAUACGGUUUCAUCUCAUCGGAAUUACGUGGUGCCCCCUUUAAAGUGAAUGUGGUUGUCUCUAAUGCAUAACCCAUAAACUAUUGUGGUAAUUUGAUAAGAGACAUCAUGGUAUGCAUCAUAUCCAAUAGGGUGCAGUUAUGAUGUUCGGACACACCAUCACACUAUGGUGUUCCAGGCUGUAUUAGUUGUGAAACAAUUUCCACAAUGUCUUAAUUCUGUGCCAAACUCGUAAUUCAGAUAUUCAUCUCUAUGAUCAUAUCAUAGAUAUUUUAUCCUCUUGUCACGACGAUCUUUCAACUUCACCCUGAAAUUACUUGAACCUUUCAAUAAUUUAGACACGUGAUUCAUCAAGUAAAUAUACUCAACAUCUACUCAGAUCAUCUGUGAAGUAAGAACAUAACGAUAUCCACUACAUGCCUCAGCACUCAUUGGACUGCACACAUCAAAAUGUAUUACUUCCAACAAGUUGCUUUCUAGUUCCAUUUUACUGAAACCGAGGCUUUCAGUCAUCUUGCCCAUGUGGUAUGAUUUGCAUGUCUCAACUGAUUCAAAAUCAAGUGAGUCCAAACGGUCCAUUUGCAUGGAGUUUCUUCAUGCAUAUACACCAAUAGACAUGGUUCGCAUGUCUCAAACUUUUCAAAAAUGAGUGAGCCCAAAGAUCCAUCAACAUGGAGCUUCCUCAUGCAUUUUAUACCGAUAUGACUUACGUGGCAGUGCCACAAGUAGGUGGUACUAUCAUUACUAUCUUUUGGCAUGAACAUGUGUAUCACUACGAUCGAGAUUCAAUAAACCAUUCAUUUUAGGUGUAAGACCAUUGAAGGUAUUAUUCAAAUAAAUAGAGUAACCAUUAUUCUCCUUAAAUGAAUAACCGUAUUGCGAUAGACAUAAUCCAAUCAUGUCUAUGCUCAACGCAAACACCAAUCUCGAUGGUAGAGGGAGCGUACGAUAUUUGAUCAACCUUGGAAAUACUUCCAACACAUAUCGUUAUCUCACCUUUAGCUAGUCUCCGUUUAUUCCGCAGCUUUUAUUUCGAGUUACUAACACUUAGCAACCGAACCGGUAUCUAAUACCCUGGUGCUACUAGGAGUACUAGUAAAGUACACAUUAACAUAAUGUAUAUCCAAUAUACUUCUAUCGACCUUGCCAGCCUUCUUAUCUACAAAGUAUCUAGGGUAAUUCUGCUCCAGUGGCUGUUCCUCUUAUUACAGAAGCACUUAGUCUCGGGUUUGGGUUCAACCUUGGGUUUCUUCACUAGAGCAACAGCUGAAUUGCCGUUUCAUGAAGUAUCCCUUCUUGCCCUUGCCCUUCUUGAGACUAGUGGUUUCACCAACCAUCAACAAUUGAUGCUCCUUCUUGAUUUCUACCUUUGUGGUGUCAAACAUCGCGAAUAUCUCAAGGAUCAUCAUAUAUGUCCCUGAUAUAUUAUAGUUCAUCACAAAGCUCUAGCAGCUUGGUGGUAAUGACUUCGGAGAACUAUCACUAUUUCAUCUGGAAGAUCAACUCCCACUCGAUUCAAAUGAUUGUUGUACUCAGACAAUCUGAGCACAAGCUCAACAAUUGAGCUUUUCUCCUUAGUUUGUAGGCUAAGAAAAUCGUCGGAGGUCUUAUACCUCUUGACGUGGGCACGAGCCUGAAAUCCCAAUUUCAGCCCCAAAACAUCCCAUAUGUUUCGCGACGUUUCAAAACUGUCUUUGGUGCCUCAACUCUAAACCGUUUAACUGAACUAUCAUGUAGUUAUCAAAACAUGUAUGUCAGAUGUUCAACAUCCACAGACAACAUUCGAGGUUCAGCACACUGAGCGGUGCAUUAAGGACAUAAGCCUUCUAAGAAGCAAUGAGGACAAUCCUCAAUUUACGGACCUAGUCCGCAUAAUUGCUACUAUCAACUUUCAACUAUUUUUUUCUCUAGGAACAUAUCUAAACAGUAGAACUAAAGCGCGAGCUACGACAUAAUUUGCAAAAUCCUUUUUGACUAUGUUCAGGAUAAUUAAGUUCAUCUUAUGAACUCCCACUCAGAUAGACAUCCCUCUAGUCAUCUAAGUGAUUACAUGAUCCGAGUCAACUAGGUCGUGUCCGAUCAUCACGUAAGACGGACUAGUCAACGUCGGUGAACAUUUUCAUGUUGAUCGUAUCUACCAUACGACUCAUGCUCGACCUUUCGGUCUUCUGUGUUCCGAGGCCAUGUCUGUACAUGCUAGGCUCGUCAAGUUAACCCUAAGUGUUUCGCGUGUGUAAAUCUGUCUUACACCCGUUGUAUGUGAACGUUAGAAUCUGACACCCGAUCAUCACGUGGUGCUUCGAAACACGAACUAUCGCAAUGGUGCACAGUUAGGGGGAACACUUUCUUGAAAUUUUAAUGAGGGAUCAUCUUAUUUACUACCGUCGUUCUAAGCAAAUAAGAUGUAUAAACAUGAUAAACAUCACAUGCAAUCAAAUAAUAGUGACAUGUGUUGGGGAACGUAGUAAUUUCAAAAAAUUUCCUACGCACACGCAAGAUCAUGGUGAUGCAUAGCAACGAGAGGGGAGAGUGUUGUCUACCUACCAACGCAGACCGACUGCGGAAGCGAUCACACAACAUAGAGGAAGUAGUCGUACGUCUUCCCGAUUCGACCGGUCCAAGCACCGUUACUCCGGCACCUCCGAGUUCUUAGCACACGUUCAGCUCGAUGACGAUCCUCGGGCUCCGAUCCAGCAAAGCGUCGAGGAAGAGUUCCGUCAGCACGACGGCGUGGUGACGAUCUUGAUGUACUACCGACGCAGGGCUUCGCCUAAGCACUACAACGGUAUGAUCGAGGUGGAAUUUGGUGGCAGGGGCACCGCACACGGCUGAGGAACGAUCUCAAGGAUCAACUUGUGUGUCUAGAGGUGCCCCCUGCCCCCGUAUAUAAAGGAUGAGAGGGGGAGGGCUGGCCGGCCAAGCAAGGGAGGCGCAGGAGGAGUCCUACUCCUACCGGGAGUAGGACUCCCCCCUCCAAUCCUAGUCCAACUAGGUUUUCUCAAGUGGGAAAGAGAGAGGGGUUGGCCGGCCACCUUCCCUAGUCCUAAUAGGACUAGGGGAAGGGGGGAGGCGCGCAGCCCAUGGGGCAGCCCUUUCACCUUUCUCCCAAGGCCCAUGUUGGCCCAUUUGGCUCCCGGGGGGUUCCGGUAACCCUCCCAGUAAUCCGGUAAAAUCCCGAUUUCACCCGAAACACUUCCGAUGUCCAAACAUAGGCUUCCAAUAUAUCAAUCUUUAUGUCUCGACCAUUUCGAGACUCCUCGUCAUGUCCGUGAUCACAUCCGGGACUCCGAACAACCUUCGGUACAUCAAAAUGCAUAAACUCAUAAUAACUGUCAUCGUAACGUUAAGCGUGCGGACCCUACGGUUCGAGAACAAUGUAGACAUGACCGAGACACGUCUCUGGUCAAUAACCAAUAGUGGGACCUGGAUGCCCAUAUUGGCUCCUACAUAUUCUACGAAGAUCUUUAUCGGUCAGACCGCAUAACAACAUACGUUGUUCCCUUUAUCAUCGGUAUGUUACUUGCCCGAGAUUCGAUCGUCGGUAUUCAAUACCUAGUUCAAUCUCGUUACUGGCAAGUCUCUUUACUCGUUCCGUAAUACAUCAUCUCACAACUAACAUCUUAGUUAUAAUGCUUGCAAGACUUAUGUGAUGUGUAUUACCGAGAGGGCCCAAAGAUACCUCUCCGACACUCGGAGUGACAAUACCUAAUCUCGAAAUACGCCAACCCAACAUCUACCAUUGGAGACACCUGUAGUACUCCUUUAUAAUCACCCAGUUACGUUGUGACGUUUGGUAGUACCCAAAGUGUUCCUCCGGUAAACGGGAGUUGCAUAAUCUCAUAGUCAUAGGAACAUGUAUAAGUCAUGAAGAAAGCAAUAGCAACAUACUAAACGAUCGGGUGCUAAGCUAAUGGAAUGGGUCAUGUCAAUCAGAUCAUUCAACUAAUGAUGUGACCUCGUUAAUCAAAUAACAACUCUUUUGUCCAUGGUUAGGAAACAUAACCAUCUUUGAUUAACGAGCUAGUCAAGUAGAGGCAUACUAGUGACACUCUGUUUGUCUAUGUAUUCGCACAUGUAUUAUGUUUCCGGUUAAUACAAUUCUAGCAUGAAUAAUAAACAUUUAUCAUGAUAUAAGGAAAUAAAUAAUAACUUUAUUAUUGCCUCUAGGGCAUAUUUCAUUUAGUCUCCCACUUGCACUAGAGUCAAUAAUCUAGUUCACAUCGCCAUGUGAUUUAACAGCAAUAGUUCACAUCACCAUGUGAUUAACACCCAUAGUUCACAUCGUCAUAUGACCAACACUCAAAGGGUUUACUAGAGUCAGUAAUCUAGUUCACAUAUCUAUGUGAUUAACACCCAAAGAGUACUAAGGUGUGAUCAUGUUUUGCUUGUGAGAUAAUUUUAGUCAACGGGUCUGUCAUAUUCAGAUCCGUAAGUAUUUUGCAAGUUCUAUGUCUACAAUGCUCUACAUGGAGCUACUCUAGCUAAUUGAUCUCACUUUCAAUAUGUAUCCAGAUUGAGACUUUAGAUUCAUCUGGAUCAGUGUCAAAAACUUGCAUCGACGUAACCCUUUACGAUGAACCUUUUUGUCAUGUCCAUAAUCGAGAAACAUAUCCUUAUUUCACUAAGGAUAAUUCUGACUGCUGUCCAGUGAUCUACUCCUAGAUCACUAUUGUACUCCCUUGCCAAAUCAAUGCAGGGUAUACAAUAGAUCUGGUAUACAGCAUGACAUAUUUUAUAGAACCUAUGGCCAAGGCAUAGGGAAUGACUUUCAUUCUCUUUCUAUCUUCUGCCGUGGUCGGGCUUUGAGUCUUACUCAACUUCACACCUCGUAACACAGGCAAGAUCUCUUUCUUUGACUGCUCCAUUUUGAACUACUUCAAAUUCUUGUCAAGGUAUGUACUCAUUGAAAAAACUUAUCAAGUGUCUUAAUCUAUCUCUAUAGAUCUUGAUACUCAAUAUGUAAGCAGCUUCACCGAAGUCUUUCUUUGAAAAACUCCUUUCAAACACUCCUUUAUGCUUUACAGAAUAAUUCUACAUUAUUUCCGAUCAACAAUAUGUCAUUCACAUAUACUUAUCAGAAAUGCUGUAGUGCUCCCACUCACUUUCUUGUAAAUACAGGCUUCACCACAAGUCUGUAUAAAACUAUAUGCUUUGAUCAACUCAUCAAAGCGUAUAUUCCAACUCCGAGAUGCUUGCACCAGUCCACAGAUGGAUCGCUGGAGCUUGCACAUUUUUGUUAGCACCUUUCGGAUUGACAAAACCUUCUGUUGCAUCAUAUACAACUCUUCUUUAAUAAAUCCAUUAAGGAAUGCAGUUUUGUUUAUCCAUUUGCCAGAUUUCAUAAAAUGCGGCAAUUACUAACAUGAUUCAGACAGACUCAAGCAUAGAUACGAGUGAGAAGCUCUCAUCAUAGUCAACACCUUGAACUUGUCGAAAACCUUUUGCGACAAUUCUAGCUUUGUAGAUAGUAACACUACUAUCAGCGUCCGUCUUCCUCUUGAAGAUCCAUUUAUUCUCAAUUGCUUGCCGAUCAUCGGGCAAGUCAACCAAAGUCCAAACUUUGUUCUCAUACAUGGAUCACAUCUCAGAUUUCAUGGCCUCAAACCAUUUCGCGGAAUCUGGGCUCAUCAUCGCUUCCUCAUAGUUCGCAAGUUCGUCAUGGUCUAGUAACAUGACUUCCAAAACAGGAUUACCGUACCACUCUGAUGCGGAUCUCACUCUAGUUUACCUACGAGAUUCGGUAGUAACUUGAUCCGAAGUUUCAUGAUCAUCAUCAUUAGCUUCCUCACUAAUUGGUGUAGGUGUCACAGAAACCGGUUUCUGUGAUGUACUACUUUCCAAUAAGGGAGGAGGUACAGUUACCUCAUCAAGUUCUACUUUCCUCCCACUCACUUCUUUCGAGAGAAACUCCUUCUCCAGAAAGUUUCCGAAUUUAGCAACAAAAGUCUUGCCUUCGGAUCUGUGAUAGAAGGUGUACCCAACUGUUUCCUUUGGGUAUCCUAUGAAGACAUAUUUCUCCGAUUUGAGUUUGAGCUUAUCGAGAUGAAACUUUUUCACAUAAGCAUCGCAACUCCAAACUUUAAGAAACGACAGCUUAGGUUUCUUGCCAAACCAUAGUUCACACGGUGUCGUCUCAACGAAUAUAGAUGGUGCCCUAUUUAACGUGAAUGCAGCUGUCUCUAAUGCAUAACCCCAAAACGAUAGUGGUAGAUCGGUAAGAGACAUCAUAGAUCAUACCAUAUCAAGUAAAGUACGAUUACGACGUUCGGACACACCAUUACGCUGUGGUGUUCCGGGUGGCGUGAGUUGCGAAACUAUUCCACAAUUUUUCAAAUGUACACCAAACUCGUAACUCAAAUAUUCUCCUCCACGAUCAGAUCGUAGAAACUUUAUUUUCUUGUUACGAUGAUUUUCAACUUCACUCUGAAAUUCUUUGAACUUUUCAAAUGUUUCAGACUUGUGUUUCAUUAAGUAGAUAUCCCCAUAUCUGCUCAAAUCAUCUGUGAAGGUCAGAAAAUAAUGAUACCUGCUGCAAGCCUUAAUAUUCAUCGGACCACAUACAUCAGUAUGUAUGAUUUCCAACAAAUCUGUUGCUUGCUUCAUUGUUCCGGAGAACGGUGUUUUAGUCAUCUUGCCCAAAAGGCAUGGUUCGCAAGCAUCAAGUGAUUCAUAAUCAAGUGAUUCCGAAAGCCCAUCAGCAUGGAGUUUCUUCAUGCGCUUUAUACCAAUAUGACCUAAACGGCAAUGCCACAAAUAAGUUGCACUAUCAUUAUUAACUUUGCAUCUUUUGGUUUCAAUAUUAUGAAUAUGUGUAUCACUACGAUCAAGAUCCAACGAACUUGUUUCAUUGGGUGUAUGACCAUCGAAGGUUUUAUUCAUGUAAACAGAACAACAAUUAUUCUCUGACUUUAAUGAAUAACCGUAUUGGAAUAAACAUGAUCAAAUCAUAUUCAUGCUCAACGCAAAAACCAAAUAACACUUAUUUAAGUUAACACUAAUCCCGAAAGUAUAGGGGAGUGUGCGAUGAUGAUCAUAUCAAUCUUGGAACUACUUCCAACACACAUCGUCACUUCACCCUUAACUAGUCUCUGUUUAUUCUGCAACUCCUGUUUCGAGUUACUACUCUUAGCAACUGAACCAAUAUCAAAUACUGAGGGGUUGCUAUAAACACUAGUAAAGCACACAUCAAUAACAUGUAUAUCAAAUAUACUUUUGUUCACUUUGCCAUCCUUCUUAUCUGCCAAAUACUUGGGGCAGUUCCGCUUCCAGUGACCAGUCCCUUUGAAGUAGAAGCACUUAGUCUCAGGCUUAGGACCAGACUUGGGCUUCUUCACUUGAGCAGCAACUUGCUUGCCGUUCUUCUUGAAGUUCCCCUUCUUCCCUUUUGCCCUUUUCUUCAAACUAGUGGUCUUGUCAACCAUCAACACUUGAUGUUUUUCUUGAUUUCUACCUUCGUCGAUUUCAGCAUCACGAAGAGCUUGGGAAUCGUUUCCGUUAUCCCUUGCAUAUCAUAGUUCAUCACGAAGUUCUACUAACUUGGUGAUGGUGACUAGAGAAUUCUGUCAAUCACUAUCUUAUCUGGAAGAUUAACUCCCACUUGAUUCAAGCAAUUGUAGUACCCAGACAAUCUGAGCACAUGCUCACUAGUUGAGCGAUUCUCCUCCAUCUUUUAGCUAUAGAACUUGUUGGAGACUUCAUAUCUCUCAACUCGGGUAUUUGCUUGAAAUAUUAACUUCAACUCCUGGAACAUCUCAUAUGGUCCAUGACGUUCAAAACGUCUUUGAAGUCCCGAUUCUAAGCCAUUAAGUAUGGUGCACUAAACUAUCAAAUAGUCAUCAUAUUGAGCUAGCCAAACGUUCAUAAUGUCUGCAUCUGCUCCUGCAAUAGGUCUGUCACCUAGCGGUGCAUCAAGGACAUAAUUCUUCUGUGCAGCAAUGAGGAUAAACCUCAGAUCACGGAUCCAAUCCGCAUCAUUGCUACUAACAUCUUUCAACGCAAUUUUCUCUAGGAACAUAUCAAAAUAAACAUAGGGAAGCAACAACGCGAGCUAUUGAUCUACAACAUGAUUUGCAAAAUACUACCAGGACUAAGUUCAUGAUAAAUUUAAGUUCAAUUUAAUCAUAUUACUUAAGAACUCCCACUUAGAUAGACAUCCCUCUAAUCCUCUAAGUGAUCACGUGAUCCAAAUCAACUAAACCAUAACCGAUCAUCACGUGAGAUGGAGUAGUUUUCAAUGGUGAACAUCUUUAUGUUGAUCAUAUCUACUAUAUGAUUCACGCUCGACCUUUCGGUCUCUGUGUUCCGAGGCCAUAUCUGCAUAUGUUAGGCUCGUCAAGUUUAACCUGAGUAUUCUGCGUGUGCUAGGCAGUAUGACUUGUAUCGCCCACAACUCACUUGUGUUCUACUCGUGCAAAUAACAUCAAACCAUAAAACCUAGGCUCGGAUGCCACUGUUGGGGAACGUAGUAAUUUAAAAAAAAUUCCUACGCACACGCAAGAUCAUGGUGAUGCAUAGCAACGAGAGGGGAGAGUGUUGUCUACGUACCAACGCAGACCGACUGUGGAAGCGAUCACACAACGUAGAGGAAGUAGUCGUACGUCUUCCCGAUCCGACCGAUCCAAGCACCGUUACUCCGGCACCUCCGAGUUCUUAGCACACGUUUAGCUCGAUGACGAUCCUCGGGCUCCGAUCCAGCAAAGCGUCGAGGAAGAGUUCCAUCAGCACGACGGCGUGGUGACGAUCUUGAUGUACUACCGACGCAGGGCUUCGCCUAAGCACUACAACGGUAUGAUCGAGGUGGAAUUUGGUGGCAGGGGCACCGCACACGGCUAAGGAACGAUCUCAAGGAUCAACUUGUGUGUCUAGAGGUGCCCCCUGCCCCCGUAUAUAAAGGAUGAGAGGGGGAGGGCUGGCCGGCCAAGCAAGGGACGCGCAGGAGGAGUCCUACUCCUACCGGGAGUAGGACUCCCCCCUCCAAUCCUAGUCCAACUAGGUUUUCUCAAGUGGGAAAGAGAGAGGGGUUGGCCGGCCACCUUCCCUAGUCCUAAUAGGACUAGGGGAAGCGGGGAGGCGCGCAGCCCAUGGGGCAGCCCUUUCACCUUUCUCCCAAGGCCCAUGUUGGCCCAUUUGGCUCCCGGGGGGUUCCGGUAACCCUCCCGGUAAUCCGGUAAAAUCCCGAUUUCACCCGGAACACUUCCGAUGUCCAAACAUAGGCUUCCAAUAUAUCAAUCUUUAUGUCUCGACCAUUUCGAGACUCCUCGUCAUGUCCGUGAUCACAUCCGGGACUCCGAACAACCUUCGGUACAUCAAAAUGCAUAAACUCAUAAUAAUUGUCAUCGUAACGUUAAGCGUGCGGACCCUACGGUUCGAGAACAAUGUAGACAUGACCGAGACACGUCUCUGGUCAAUAACCAAUAGCGGGACCUGGAUGCCCAUAUUGGCUCCUACAUAUUCUACGAAGAUCUUUAUCGGUCAGACCGCAUAACAACAUACGUUGUUCCCUUUGUCAUCGGUAUGUUACUUGCCUGAGAUUCGAUCGUCGGUAUCCAAUACCUAGUUCAAUCUCGUUACUGGCAAGUCUCUUUACUCGUUCCGUAAUACAUCAUCUCACAACUAACAUCUUAGUUAUAAUGCUUGUUAGACGUCACAUAUAUCAUUCAUCACAUCCUUUGGCCAUAUCACAUCACAUAACAUACCCUGCAAAAACAAGUUAGACGUCCUCUAAUUGUUGUUUGCAUGUUUUACGUGGCUGCUAUGGGUUUCUAGCAAGAACGUUUCUUACCUACGCAAAUACCACAACGUGAUAUGCCAAUUGCUAUUUACCCUUCAUAAGGAUCCUUUUCAUCGAAUCCGAUCCGACUAUAGUGGGAGAGACAGACACCCGCUAGCCACCCUAUGCAACUAGUGCAUGUCAGUCGGUGGAACCAGUCUCACGUAAGAGUACGUGUAAGGUCGGUCUGGGCCGCUUCAUCCCACAAUGCCGCCGAAUUAAGAUAAGACUAGUAACGGCAAGCAUAUUGAACAAAAUCAACGCCCACAACUACUUUGUGUUCUACUCGUGCAUAGAAUCUAUGCAAUAAACCUGGCUCUGAUACCAUUGUUGGGGAACGUAGCAGAAAUUCAAAAUUUUCCUACGUGUCACCAAGAUCUAUCUAUGGAGAGACUAGCAACGAGGGGGAGGAGAGUGCAUCUACAUACCCUUGUAGAUCGCUAAGCGGAAGCGUUCAAGAGAACGGGGUUGAUGGAGUCGUACUCGUCAUGAUCCAAAUCACCGAUGAUCCUAGUGCUGAACGGACGGCACCUCCGCGUUCAACACACGUACAGCCCGGUGACUUCUCCCACGCCUUGAUCCAGCAAGGAGAGAGGGAGAGGUUGAGGAAGACUUCAUCCAACAGCAGCACAAUGGCGUGGUGGUGGUGGAGGAGCGUGGCUAUCCUGCAGGGCUUCGCCAGGCACCACAGAAGAGGAGGAAGAAGAGACGCAGGGCUGCACUAAGAGAGAUUGAAUCGCAUGUAUAAUGGGCAGCCCCUUAGGCCUCAUAUAUAUAGGGGAAGGGGAGGGGCUGCACCCCCUCUAGGGUUCCCACCCCUAGGGGGGCGGCAGCCCUAGAUGGGGAGCAAGGGGGCGGCCAAGAGGGGAGAGAGGGAGGUGCCCCCUAGGGUGGGCCUUAGGCCCAUAUAAGCCUAGGGUUUCCUCCUUUUUUCCUCCUAGCUGCCCUUGGGCCUUGUGGGAGGCGCACCAGCCCACUUAGGGGCUGGUCCCUCACCACCCUUGGCCCAUGCAAGCCUCCGGGGUUGGUGGCCCCACUUGGUGGACCGCCGGGACCCUCCCGGUGGUCCCGGUACGUUACCGAUAAACCCCGAAACUCUUCCGGUGACCAAAACAGGACUUCCCAUAUAUAAAUCUUUACCUCCGGACCAUUCCGGAACUCCUCGUGACGUCCGGGAUCUCAUCCGGGACUCCAAACAACAUUCGGUAACCACAUACAAACUUCCUUUAUAACCCUAGCAUCAUCGAACCUUAAGUGUGUAGACCCUACGGGUUCGGGAGACAUGCAGACAUGACCGAGACGUUCUCCGGUCAAUAACCAACAGCGGGAUCUGGAUACCCAUGUUGGCUCCCACAUGUUCUACGAUGAUCUCAUCGGAUGAACCACGAUGUCAAGGACUUAAUCAAUCCCGUAUACAAUUCCCUUUGUCUAUCGGUACGAUACUUGCCCGAGAUUCGAUCGUCGGUAUCCAGAUACCUUGUUCGAUCUCGUUACCUGCAAGUCUCUUUACUCGUUCUGUAACACAUCAUCCCGUGAUCAAAUCCUUGAUGACAUUGUGCACAUUAUGAUGAUGUCCUACUGAGUGGGCCCAGAGAUACCUCUCCGCUUACACGGAGUGACAAAUCCUAGUCUCGAUUCGUGCCAACCUAACAGACACUUUCGGAGAUACCUGUAGUGCACCUUUAUAGUCACCCAGUUACGUUGUGACGUUUGGUACACCCAAAGCAUUCCUGCGAUAUCCGGGAGUUGCACAAUCUCAUGGUCUAAGAAAAUGAUACUUGACAUUAGAAAAGCUUUAGCAUACGAACUACACGAUCUUUGUGCUAGGCUUAGGAUUGGGUCUUGUCCAUCACAUCAUUCUCCUAAUGAUGUGAUCCCGUUAUCAACGACAUCCAAUGUCCAUGGUCAGGAAACCGUAACCAUCUAUUGAUCAAUGAGCUAGUCAACUAGAGGCUUACUAGGGACAUGGUGUUGUCUAUGUAUCCACACAUGUAUCUGAGUUUCUUAUCAAUACAAUUAUAGCAUGGAUAAUAAAUGAUCAUCAUGAAUAGGGAAAUAUAAUAAUAAUCAAUUUAUUAUUGCCUCUAGGGCAUAUUUCCAACACCAACAUUGGUUUUACCAUUUUCCACCUAGCCUCUUUUUCCCUUGGGUUUCCGGAGCCCGAGGGUCAUCUUAUUUUAACACCCCCCGGGCCAGUGCUCCUCUAAGUGUUGGUCCAACUGUCAGCUGCCGGUGGCCACCAGGGGCAACUCUGGGCUGGCCUACCCGUACCUAGGACAAUCUGAGUGUGCCCUGAGAAAGAGAUAUGUGCAGCUCCUAUCGGGAUUUGUCGGCAUUCGGGCGGUGUUGCUGGACUUGUUUUAACCUGUCGAAUCAUCUUGUUGUACCGAGAUACCGAGUCUGAUCGGUGUGUCUUGGGUGGAGGUCUAUUCCUUCGUUGACCGUGAGAGCUUGUUAUGGUCUAAGUUGGGACCCCCCCUGCAGGGAUUGAUCUUUCGAAAGCCGUGCCCACGGUUAUGGGCAGAUGGGAUUUUGUUAAUGUCCGGUUGUAGAUAACUUGAACCUUAAUUAAUUAAAAUGAAUCAACUGAGUGUGUUGCCGUGAUGGCCUCUUCUCGGCGGAGUCCGGGAAGUGGACACGGUGUUGAAGUUAUGUUUGCGCAGGUUGCUCUCUAGUCCCUCGCUCGUGCUUUGCCUCCUCUUCUCGCUCUCUUUUGCGAAUAAGUUAGCCACCAUAUAUGCUAGUCGCUUGCUGCAGCUCCACUUAUACAUUACCCCUUUCCUACCUAUUAAGCUUAAAUAGUCUUGAUCGCGAGGGUGCGAGAUUGCUGAGUCCCUGUGGCUCAUAGAUUACUAUUACACCAGAUGCAGGGACAGAUGAUACAGCUCCAGAUGGUGCACUCGAGCUCAAGUGGGAGUACGACGAGGACUCUCAGCGUUACUAUGUGUCUUUUCCUGAUGAUCAGUAGUGGUGCCUAUUCGGGAUUAGAUUCAGGGCCUUGUCGCAUGUUGGGGGUCUUUUCUAUUUUGGCGCCGUAGUCGGGCCAUGAGUGAUUUGUAUGAUGGAUGUUAUUUAUGUACUUUGAUGUGACGUGGCGAGUGUAAGCCAACUAUGUUCUUCCCCUUUAUAUUAUUAUGUACAUGGGAUGUGUGAUGAUUUCCCGACUUGCGACAUUGCUUUCAAUGCGGCUAUGCCUCUAAGUCGUGCCUCGACACGUGGGAGAUAUAGCCGCAUCGAGGGCGUUGCACAGAAACAGGCCGAUCUGCAGUGAUUGAUGUUGGGACUGUUGGAUUGAUCAAAAAAGGCAUCAUCAAAGUAAGUAUAUCCUUGACAUGACAUAACUUUAUAACAUAUGUUGAUUUGAUAUGCCAAGUUAUCAAUGUAUU